UACGGGGGGGGCAAGCGUUGUUCGGAAUUACUGGGCGUAAAGAGUGUGUAGGCGGUGCUCCCAGUCUGUUGUGAAAUCUCCCGGCUUGAACUGGGAGGGUGCAGCGGAAACUAGAGUGCUAGAGGGUGGGAGAGGUAAGGCGGAAUUCCGUGGUGUAGCGGUGAAAUGCGUAGAUAUCAGGAGGAACACCUGUGGUGUAGACAGCUUACUGGACCACUUCUGACGCUGAGACACGAAAGCGUGGGUAGCAAACAGG
rnacentral:rRNA from 1 species